AUGCUCGCUUCGGCAGCACAUAUACUAAAAUUGGAAUGAUACAGAGAAGAUUAGCAUGGCCCCUGCGCAAGGUCGUACCCCUACAGGGACAAGAGAGGUAGAGACAG